AUCAAAUCCUAGAUGCAGUAAAUUGCAUCCAUCAACGCCUCCAAAGCUUCACAGUCAUAUACCUCUUCAUGGUUCCACAUUUCAUUCAGUAACAUUAGGCAGUUUUGAUUUAUAUGCUACUUAAUGUUUGAUGAUCACUUUUUUUUUUUUUACAUGUGCAUAAGCAAUGCUUCUACUGCUUGUUUCUGCUUCUUCUUCGCCUGUGUUUUGAUCAGGAGAUUCUGUACUCUUUCAGAAGAUGCGUGAUAGCGCCCCCUACCUAUAACAGUGAAAGCAUGGAUUGCCGGAAAAUUCCAUCAGUGGCGAGGAAAGAGGGGCGACUUGGAGUAAUUGUCCUCCAAACCAUCAGGAAGCAGCAGUGAGAAGAAGUAAGGUGCUCAAAACUUCAAGUAUCUUUGGCAGGACUCAGAAGGGGCUGUCAACAGUAGUGCUGCAAACUCCAAAAAGGUUACUGACUGACUUUUCCCAUGUAGCAGUGGGUGCAGCGCGACAGAUGCCCCUGCCAGUUUUGGUGCCUGGGCCCCGUCAGCUGCCAGCAGGCCCCUAAUCCUUCCUAAUGGGGAUUGUCUUUUCACCGCUAAUUUAAACCCUCAAACCACGGGACUGCCUCAACCUGAAAGCGUUCAAUCCCAGCAGCCCUCCACUACCCCACAGCCCCUCACCCCUUCGCUGGGCCCAAGCUCCACUCAGGCCUGGGGCCCUCCAAUGCCUCUGCAACAACACCACCUUUCUGUCAUUCCACAUGCUGAUUGUAUUAAUCUUAUCUCCGUUUAAUUACAUUUUUCAGGACUCUUGCCGUCUGCCAUCUUUGCUCGCAGUGGGAGUUACUGAGAGGCCCUCAUUUCACAUGCCAUCUCAUUUGGGUUCAAAAAUCCCUGACACAAGACACCCGACCUCACUGAAAAGAUGGAAAAAAAAGUGAUUUAUUAAAAGCGUGAAGUUGAACACAAAACUUUUCAUGUUUACAUGCAAAUAUGUUAGAAAUGGGAAUCAUAAGGAAAUUUCUGAUUACACUUAACCCAUUACAUAAAGAUUUCAUACACAGUUCUUUUAAUACUUUUGAAGAAACUCUUACCCCAAUAAUUGGUCCUAUAGUAAACAAAUAUUUUUUAUGCCAACACAUCCAGCCAUCCAUCCAUCCAGAUGUCUGAAACUUUGUAUACAUUUCUGCUGUUUAUUGCCUCCUUAAGAUGAACCACUUGUUGUAUUCCUUAUUUGUAAGUCGCUUUGGAUAAAAGUGUCUGCUAACUGAAUAAAUGUAAAUACUAUAACCUAACCCUAACCCAUAUCCUAACAGAAAACUUUAUUUUCUGUUAGGAUAUGGGUUUUCCCAAGGAUGUGUUCACACUUAGCAGGCUUGGUUUGAUUAAAAUGAACCCUGGUACGAUUGCUUUGUUAGUGCGGUUCUUUGGAAUAAGUGUGAACGCUGCCAUCCGAAUGCUGGUGCACACCAAACAAGCGAGACGAGACCCACCAUUUCAAUGGGACUCGGUCCACUUCCAAACGAACUGUGGUGCGAUUCAACUGAAAUAGGAACGGAACAUGGACCAAAAACAUCACUUUAUAAAUGAACGCGUAAAUGCUGACUUCAGUAACCUCCGUGUUUACUUCCGUAUAAUUCCGUGCUGCGCUGUCUUUGUUAUUUUUCUUUUGCGCAUGUGGGUCAGUUCAGGAUUGUGCCAGAAUUGUGUGUUAUAAAGUCAGAAUUGUGUGAUUAGCCUCUGGUUUCACAGAGAUGGCUUAAGCUAAUCCUAGACUAAAAUGCACGGUUGAAUUGUGUGAUAUGAAGUCAGAAUUGCGAGAUAUAAAGUCAGAAUUACGUGUUAUAAAGUCAGAGUUGUGAGAUAUAAAGUCAGAAUUGCGAGAUAUAAGGUCAGAAUUGCGAGUUAUAAAUUCAGAAUUGUGUGAUAUAAAGUCAGAAUUGCGAGAUAUAAAGUCAGAAUUGCGUGAUAUAAAAUCAGAUUUGCGAGAUA